rnacentral:rRNA from 1 species
CAGUAGCCACGGUAAUACGAAGGGGGCUAGCGUUGUCCGGAAUUAUUGGGCGUAAAGAGCUCGUAGGCGGUCUGUCACGUCGGCUGUGAAAACCUGGGGCUCAACCCCGGGCCUGCAGCCGAUACGGGCAGACUAGAGUUCGGCAGGGGAGACUGGAAUUCCUGGUGUAGCGGUGAAAUGCGUAGAGAUGUGGAGGAAUACCGGUGGCGAAGGCAGCCCCCUGGGCCAAUACUGACGCUCAUGCACGAAAGCGUGGGGAGCAAACAGGAUUAGAUACCCGCGUAGUCCCUGUCUCUUAUAC